AGGCCUUUCAGGUGACUGCAGAGAAGUUCCAACCUUAUGUGAAGUUUUUUGCCACUUUUGACAAAGGGGUGGCUAAACAACUGACACUAAAAAUGAAUGAAAUCGAUUUCUAUGAGCCCUUCAUGGAUGAGCCUGUCACCAUUCCUGACAAACCCAACACAGAGGAGGAGAUAGUGGAUUUUGUCAAUCAACACAGAAGGCCUACUCUGAGAAAGCUUCGUGCUGAGGACAUGUUUGAGACUUGGGAGGAUGACAUGGACGGAAUCCACAUUGUUGCCUUUGCUG